AGAGUUUGAUCAUGGCUCAGAACGAACGCUGGCGGCGUGCUUAACACAUGCAAGUCGAGUGCGCGCCUGUAGCAAUGCAGGUGGCGCACGGCGCACGGGUGCGUAACACGUGGGCAAUCUGCCCUCUGAUGGGGAAUAACCCGCCGAAAGGCGGGCUAAUACCGCAUAAAAUUCCUUGGACUCAUGUUCGAGGACUCAAAGGCGUAAGUCGUCGGAGGAGGAGCCCGCGCACGAUUAGCUAGUUGGUAGGGUAAUGGCCUACCAAGGCUUUGAUCGUUAGCUGGUCUGAGAGGAUGGCCAGCCACACUGGAACUGAGACACGGUCCAGACUCCUACGGGAGGCAGCAGUGGGGAAUCUUGCACAAUGGGCGAAAGCCUGAUGCAGCGACGCCGCGUGGGGGAUGAAGCAUUUCGGUGUGUAAACCCCUUUCGAUCCGGACGAAUGCCUCGCAAGAGGAGUGACGGUACGGAUAUAAGAAGCCCCGGCUAACUACGUGCCAGCAGCCGCGGUAAGACGUAGGGGGCCAGCGUUGUUCGGAAUUACUGGGUGUAAAGGGUUCGUAGGCGGUGUGGCAAGUUGGGUGUGAAAUCUCUGGGCUCAACCCAGAGACUGCUUCCAAAACUGCUGUGCUUGAGUGUGAGAGAGGCUCGUGGAAUUGCAGGUGUAGCGGUGAAAUGCGUAGAUAUCUGCAGGAACACCCGUGGCGAAAGCGGCGAGCUGGAUCACUACUGACGCUGAGGAACGAAAGCUAGGGGAGCAAACAGGAUUAGAUACCCUAGUAGUCC
rnacentral:rRNA from 1 species